CAGGGACAGGGCUUGUCUGCCUUCCCUAGGCCUGUGUGCCCGUGCCUCACACUGCCAUGAGAUGAGGAAGACACAGUCAUUAAACGGGAUGAAAGUGUACCUGUCUCAACAACUGGCUUCCUGCUCACAGGUCGAGAGCGAUCUUGGCUGUUGAAAAUAUGUGGAUCGGCAGAUGUCUCUAUUUGGUCACCAGAGGAUUUCAGCACUGAGAGCAUGUACUGAAAAUGGAAGAGAGGUAGGAUUUUUUUUUUUAAGUGGGAACAAACAAAUGAACAAAAAAGUGAGUAAAAAGUGGGGCCAGGCAUGGUGGCUCACUCCAGUAACCCCAGCAUUUUGGGAGGCUGAGGCAGGAGAAUCACUUGGGCCCAGGAGUUCAAGACCAGCCUGGGCAACAUAGUGAGACACUGUCUUUACAAAAAAAAAAAAAAAUUAGCCAGGUGUGGUGGCACGUACCUGUGAUUCCAGCUACUCAAGAGGCUGAGGUGGGAGGAUUGCUUGAGCUUGGGAAGUUGAGGCUUCAGUGAGCCAAGAUUGAGCCACUGCAUUCCAGCCUGGGCAACAGAGCAAGACCCUUUCUGGCAAAAAAAAAAAAAAAAAGAA
rnacentral:lncRNA from 1 species